UCCAUUUUAUUCCUAAAAUAAUUUUGUGAACAAGAGAAAAAUUAAGGGUUACACCCUUAGUAGUAAAUCUGAUAAUAAAACUAAAUAAUGGACAAGAGGCUAUACAUUUAUGAAAGGUCAGGCCAAGUUUCCUGAUUUCUUGAAGUGAUAUAUCUUUCUUUUCAGAUAUAGAGUAAAAUACAUUAUUAUAUUUCUAGCCACUAAACCAGAACAACAAAUAGUUCUGUUCCAAAGAUAGUUUUGACCUUGGGCUUUCUUUCUGCUAAAAAUAAAAAAGUAACACAAGAAAAAGGAGGGUUCUUGCUUGAUAUAUAUUGCUUCAGUGUCGGCUGUUUUGGACAUAGCAGAUUUUAGUUUGUAGUUAUCUCUUUCUCUCUCUUUCUAUCUGAAAAGUGGUCUGGUCCCAAAUUGAUUCCAGAAAUAUUGCAAGAGGGGAAAAAAAGAAGAAGAGCAAUAUUGUUUCCAUCUCUUCAAAUCAGGAGGAGAGGGAUUUGUAUUGGAUGACACAGAAGACUUCUGGGGGUGUAGUGAGUGCAAGACUGUCUUCCACAAUAGUUGUCAGGCAAAUGUCAGUUUCUGCCCUCGUUGUGUCCGUCGGCAGAAAUAUCACCAGCAACUGCAAGAAUUCCUUUGGAAAUGAUCUCAACUGUGCCAGUCCUUUGGAUAAGAUUCUGGAAUUCUCCAGAAGGCAAUUGGAAGUCAAAAGCUUAGGAGCAAUGGAAAAACACUACCAGCUGCACACCUUCUGUCUGGAUUAGAGUCCUACAACAACCAGUGCACCUUGCCAUCAGCUCUGGGAAAGGAAGCUACAGAGAUACUUCCUUGAAUUCAUCCAUUAUUGCCAUUAAUCUUCAUUUAUCCUUGCCUUCCCAAGCAAAUUCAUCCUUAUCCUGAUAUUGAAUACUGGAUAUUAAAAGGAUAUGUAGCAAGAACUCCUAAGAAGACUGAUUUUAGUGGAUGUCUCUUGAUUUAAAUCACUGGAGAAAGGAAAUAUUGUUUUACUUUUAACAAAUGCACUUUCCAGCAGAUUUCUUGUGCCUUCUACACUUUACACACUGCUGUUAAAAUGUCUUGUGCCAAAAUAGCUGCUGAAUUCUUUAGAAAGGCAUGCCAUCCUUGGUAUCCUCCUCAAGCAAAGUGACCUUCUUAUAAAUAAGCUAUUAUUAUUCUCCAUUUUUUAAAAAAAAAUGCUCAGUCAGCAUAUUUCAAACUUGAUUUUAAUAUUUUCUUUUAUUCUCCUAUGCAGAUAAUUAACUUUAUUGAAUAAAUAACAGAUGUUAUGAAUCCGUUA